UACGUAGGGGGCAAGCGUUGUCCGGAAUUAUUGGGCGUAAAGAGCGCGUAGGCGGUCCGGUAAGUCGGUUGUGAAAGUCGGGGGCUCAACCCUCGGAUGCCGAUCGAUACUGUCGGGCUAGAGUCCGGAAGAGGCGAGUGGAAUUCCUGGUGUAGCGGUGAAAUGCGCAGAUAUCAGGAGGAACACCGGUGGCGAAGGCGGAUCUCUGGGCCUUACCUGACGCUGAGGCGCGAAAGCUAGGGGAGCGAACAGG
rnacentral:rRNA from 1 species